UUGUCAGGGCGCUAUGUAAAACAGUAGUUUCUUGUCAGAGUGCUAUGUCAAACAGUAGAUAGCGCCCUGACAAGAAACUACUGUUUGACAUAGCGCCCUGACAA
rnacentral:pre_miRNA from 1 species